AGCAAACUCCAGACAACUUGUUGAUUGGAAAAAUUAACAUAUGUUGAGGGGAAAAAAAAACCAAUAACAUUUUUAUAUAUGUAAAAAAAAGACUUCAAAAACAAAAGACAGCCUACAAACUUUUCAGAAACGACAUUCAGGAUUGUGCGGAACAUGCAACUCGGUUAUUGACAAGCAAGACAUGAUUAAAUUGUUGCCCCAUAUUUUUCAUUCUCUCUCCCAAGGAAGCAAGCACCUAAUACUCCUGGCCUCUUCCUCUCUCCCCCCCCCCCACAACAACCCUGUAGAGUGGACUGGGAAGAAAGAGAAGGACUGGCUCAAAGUACAACUUGAUGCAGUUAAUCUUUUUUUUUUUAAAAGGACACGCAAACAGUGCUAGCGAUGAAGCUGCUGCGUUCUUGAAGAAACCAAACACAGCCAGGAUAAAAAGAGGCUUUUGUGUAGCCAAGCACCACGUCAACUGCCUUUCGGCAAGACUGGACAUCUCCUUUCAGAAUGUAGCUAGCCGUGAAGCGCGGAAGAGGAUUUUGACGCACAGCUUAAGGACAAGCUGACCCAGUUAUGCGGCUAGUUGGAAGGUGCACCAGGUAUUUCCGCCAGUUGGCAAAAGGCAAUAAAUCGGAAGCCAAAGCCAAAGACACGGCAAAUUAAUGAAAGGAAGGUGUAAUGGAGGGAAACCAGCCCUUUAUGUGGUUAGUUGGAAGGACUGGUAUCAAAUGCACCGGGCGCUUUUGAGAUGCGAUUGUGAGAAAAAAAACCAAACAGAUCUUGGCACUCAAUAAGAAACUUGGGCUUGGCUAGGAAAAUUAAUGCUUUACUUUAAGGUUCAUUCCCGAGUUCAAUUCAUUUUAUUGUGGGAGGAGGAAUGGCAUCUUUGCUAUCUCCAAAAUUCUUCAAGCACUGUGACAUUUAUUGCUGCAAAUUUAGAAAACAACAGCAGUUUGUUUUUGCUUUUUUUUUGGUACUACACGGAGGAUCUCCUGCUGCCUGGGCUUGAGGACUGGAGCGCUAGAAUUGCUUCUGAUUUGAGCCUUUGUGAACGGAAUUAGCUGGAAGGGCAACAGCUCAAUGAAGCAAGAUCAUAAGGGCUGCUCUAUAAACGGAUGUCAAAGGGAUUCAGGAUGAGCCACCCAGCAUCUGUGAAAGACCCUCUUUCAACUGAACUAACAGAAUAUUAGAAUCGGAAGGGGCCUUGGAGGUCUUCUAGACCAACCCUCUGCUCAAAGAGCAGACCCUACACCGUUCCAGACAAGCGGCAGUCCCACAAGUUCUGAAG